GACCACUUCUCCAACCAACCGUCAACGCCAGCAUCAUCCACAUCCUCAAGUACCUCACAGGCUCAGCCAAGACUUAUGCCAAUGCUGUGCAGGCCUAUGUGCAUGUUAGGGACGUGGCUGUGGCCCACAUUCUGGUGUAUGAAACUCCAUCUGCCUCGGGAAGGUACCUUUGUGGUGAGAGUGUGCUUCACCGUGGAGACGUGGUAGAAAUCCUAGCCAAGUUCUUCCCAGAAUACCCAAUUCCCACCAAGUAAGUACAUCAUCGUCCUCAUCAAUUUUGUUUUCUUUAUUUCUUGUCUAAAUAAGAUAUUUUCUGAGCUACAUGUUAACAACCAAGAUGGGGAUGAGGGCGGGGGACAGUGAUGGUAUCCCUAUUUUGGUAUAAGCGAAAUGACAAAUAUGUUUGUUUAUGCAUACGUAGGCAUCUCUCAUAGUGAUUGAUUUAGUGUUUGCUUAUGGUCCAUUACUUAAUGUUUUUAUAGAAUAAAGAAAUUUUUGGCUAAUCAUUGGUUUGCUUAUACAUUUUAAACUAUUAUUUUAAAAUCUAUUUACAUACAAUUUUUUAUUAUUUAUGGAUUUCUAUUUUCAAACUAUUUUAAUGCAAUACACAUAUUUGUAUUUUUGAAAGUACUCUUGUUUUUUAAUGUUGUGGGAUUAAAUUAAUUAGUAUGUCAUAUAUUUACAGGUGCUCGGAUGAAGUCAAACCAAGAGUAAAACCAUACAAGUUGACAACCCAGAAGCUACAAGACUUGGGCGUGGAGUUCAUUCCAGUGAAACAGUGCCUAUAUGAAACUGUUAAGAGCUUGCAGGAGAAGGGCCACCUUCCAGUGCCUAAACCACAAGAAGAUUCCAUUAAAAUUCAAUCUUAAAUCUUGUAAGAAUAUUUGCAAUGCGUGACCUAUGUAUUUGCGGCGGAGAUAAACGUUGCAAUGGUAUUUUAAUAUCAGAUGACAAGUUUGUAAGAAUAUUUCAUAAAUAUUAUGUAUCACCUAACCUACAUGAAGUGACUUAUGUGAUCAAUUAAUUAUUUAAUUAGUUUAAUAAAUAUUAUUAUUAUAUAUUGGUCAAAUUAAGAGAAGUAAUUUCAUAGGAUAUGUGGAGAGAGAAGUUUUGACCUAGCCGCUCUCUCCCUGUGUAAAUCCUAAGGAAAAACUCAAUAGAGGGGGGGGAGGAAGAAGCCUCACUAUCCCACCUCCCCUUCAUCUCUUACUGUUGGGUUAGUGAAUAAGUCCACUGGGCAUUUUGGAUAAGAAUCCCCUUGUGGUGAUCUCUUCUGGGCCGUACUUAGAUUGAAGUUCCCCUUCACCCCUUUUGGGCUAUGUUCUCAAUCAAAUCAUUUUCCCAAAACCCGCUCUCUAACACUACUCAUGUUCUCUGAAUUUGGUUCUACAUUGUAUUUGAUGGUGGUUGGUACAAAUCACUCAAUUGUUCUUUGCCAUAGUUUUUUGUUUUCGUUUAUUUAUUCACUCUUAUCCUCAUGUUGAUCGUUGUGAAUCACAUUUUUCCCAAAUCUAUUAUGGAUGCGGUGUUAGGUGUGGCUGUGACGACGCUUCUUCAGGUAGUGGUGAUAGGGUUCAUGCAGGCUCAUGGGUCGCUUUAGAGUUUCAGUUAUAUUGGGUUUGUGUGUUUUGUCUGGGCUUAUGGUUCAUUAUGGUGAGGCUAAACUAGUGAAUUUCCCUUGAACUUGUACCCAAUUUUCAAGGGAAAGUGAACACGAAGACUCUUGGCCAACUGUUGCGUCUACCCAAGUGCAAGUAGUCACACGUAGUAAUAAUCUUGGAAGUCCAAGUAUUGUAUCCUCAAUGAGCAAGUAGGCAAAUAUCUGCACACAAAGAAAUAAUUAAACGUACCACAAUAAAAGUGACAAGCAAAAUGGAAAAGUAAUUUGAUUUGAUUGUUGUGGAAAUUGAGUCUAAAAAUGAAAUAUCAAUAAUGGAAAUGCUAAGGCAUCAAGGUUCAAUUCUUUAAAUAAAGUAUGUUUCAUGCUCUUUGAUCCAAAUUAUAACUCGAUUAAAAUCAUCAUUGAAAAACUUUAACAGGAAGAUAAAAAAAAAAUUAAAACCAAUUUAAUUUUUUCAAUGUUAUCUUUUAUUAAUGAUUGUUCAGAAAAUGGAAUUGCUUAAUAUCUACUCUUUUAAUUUAAAAGCAUGCUAAGUCAAUUCUUAACAAUGAGAAAAAUAUAAUUGAACUCAUGAAAAGAUAAUAGCACUUAACAUCAAUCAAAAUAAAAGGAUAUGAAAAUAUUGAACAACCAAAAAUAAAAGAAUUUAGCAAUUCGUACCGUAUAUUAGGUUAAAGAACAAUUCACAAACUUACUCAAAGAACAUUCCCUCUAGCCUUAGCUACAGUUUUAGCAACGCAUUACAAAGGAAAACAUAAAACUAAAUUUUGAAUGAAAUGGAUAAAGAAAUCUGUUGUCGGGGUCCCUUGCCAAAUAAGUUGAUGGGUGAUUUAUAGUGGUCAAUGAGGUAAGUGGGAAGUUAACAGCUUCGUGGUGGGUGAUGAAGGGUUUAAUUGAGGGAUUAAUUGGAUUAAACAUGGGUUGAUGGUGGAGAGUUAGUGGAAAAGAAAUAACGGUGACGUAAGUGGGCGUUAAAUGGCUAUGAAUGACAUGAAAUAGGCUCUUUAGCUUCAACGGUUUUGUCUUCGCUUCUCCCUCUUUACUUCUCUUUAUAAUCACAAUAAUCCCACAAUGAAUUCUUCAAUAAAAUCCGCCAGCAAUUCUCUUCACACCUAGCUUGAACUUGGACAAAUGUAUGUCUUCAUCUUUUGGCUUUCCAACUUCCUAUAGAAGAUAAAUUCACCUAAUAAGUUCACCAAAUUAAUAUAAAAAUUCAUAAAUCCGGUUGGUGAGAAUAAAUGUAAUAACAAGUGAAAUUAUAUUUAUUAAGCCAAAAUUAUAUCAUAAAGUCUCCAAAAUAAUAUUAAAAAUAUGUAAUUUGAGACUCUCAUCACCAACACAAAGUAUUACAUUGAAAAUCCUCAAGACUAAAACCACAAACUAAAGAUGGCAAAAGACUUCUUUGGUAGCCACCAGAUGGAUAGCGAGAAUGCCACAGUAGAAUGCGUUGUCGACGAUCUUUGAUAGAACCUUUGGUAAGAUGAACCCGGACUUGACAAAUAUCAUCAACAUAACACAAUCCCUCUCUCUUAAUAGCACGGCCAAUGAUCUCCUUCAUGAGAAUAUCUUGAAGACGACUGAAAAACGGGUACAUUAGUACAAAACAAUUAAGUUGCUCAGUGACUUGUCCAACAUACAAGAGGUUAUUGGAGAGAGAAGGCACAAGUAAGCAAUGAUGUAAGGAGAGAGAAGGAGUUAAUUCCAUUGUUCAUGUGCUUGUAACAAGACUUGAGUCACCGUUAGCAUUGGCCAAAUUGCUCAAGUGAGGUGAGGUACGAUACGUAAAAUUUCAGGAAUCAAAGGUCAUAUCACUACUAUAUUUUACACUUUGCGCGACUCUUUGUCGCGCAAAAUAAAUUGUAGUCUCACAAAUUUCAGUGCUAUAGAAACUUCGUCGCGCAGAAUCCAUCGUGCAGAAUCCAUCGCGCAAAGAUCGUGAAGAAAGAGGCGACACAUUGCACGAGGAAACACAUUGGUCACGCAAAGUUUUGGCGACAAAACACAUUGGUCGCGCAAAGUCUUAAAAAAAUUUAAAAAAAAUAAAAAAUUCCCUCGUCCCAUUUUUGUUACUCGCCAAAUUUUUAGAGUUUUGCGCGACGAAUACUAACGUCGCUCAAAUAUUUGAGCGACAAAAAAUUUUUUGUGUUUAAAAUUUUUUAAAUUAAAAUAAACUAAUUUAAUAGUUUGCGCUACAAAAUAUUUUGUCGCGCAAAGUUUUUGACUUUUUGUUUUAUUAUUUCUUUAAUAUUAAUUUAUUUAUAUUAAUUUAUUCGAAUUUUUACUUUUUAAAUUUAAUUUAAUUGUAUGAUUUUUUUAAAAUCACUUUAAUUUAAAUUGAUAUUAAUUUAAUUAUAUUAAUUUUUUCAAAUUUUUACUUUUUAAAUUUAAUUUAAUUGUAAGAUUUUUUUUUAGUUACUUUAAUUUAAAUUGACACAUUCAAAAUAAAAUUACAUAGGAAAAAUAGUGAUCAAAUUAUCCAAUAAAUAUAUAUAUAAUAUUCAAAAUGUACACAUAAAUUAACAAAGUACAAUAAUAAAAUCCUAACACAAGCGUAUUGUGGUGGUAGUGGCGGAUGAUAUGUUUUGAUAGCUUCCUAAUCCUCAACUUUAGCCAUCAAAGUCUCGAUGAUUACCUACAAAAAAACAAAUAUGGUCAAAUAACAACAACAACAAAAAAAGAAAAAAAAGGCAUAAUCUCCUCUAAAAUUGUUAUACCACAAAUCCAACCCAAACUCCAAUCUCUCCCCUUUACUCAACACCAAACCCCACACAAACUCAAAACUAACUCCAAAAACACAUAUUAAUGAAAAAAAUUUAAAAUUUGGAGAGAAUAUACCUUUUGGCAAGAUUGAGAGUGAGUGAGAAUGAGAGGGAGAAGUGAGUGUGAGAGAAUUAGAUAAGAUAGUGAUAGAGGGAUGAGAGAGUGAGAGAUAGUGAAAAGAUAGAUGAGAGAGUGAGUGAGAGUGAGAGAUAGUGAAGAGAGAGAUGAGAGAUUAAGUGAGAGGAGUGAGUGUGAGAGAAAGGGUGGGAUUUGGGGAGAGGGAAAGAGAGAGGAGAGGUAAGAGUAGAGAAAGACAUUGAGAAAAUGGUGGAGGAGUUAUUUCGGUUUUAAAAAUUGUAUCACUUUGCACGACGAAAAAUAUUGUUGGUCGCGCAAAGUUUUGCCCGACAAAAAAUAUUGGAAUAUUGGUCGCGCAAAGUUUUGCUCGACGACUAUAGGAAUAUUGGUCGUGCAAAGUCUAAAAAAAUUAUUUUAAAAAAAAAAUUUCCCGCAUCCCAUUUUUGGUACCCGCCAAAAUUUUUAAAUUUUUGCACGACGAAAAAUACAUAUUGGUCGCGCAAAGUCUAAAAAAAAUUAUAUAAAAAAAUUCACGCGUCCCAUUGGUACCCGCCCAAAUUUUUGAGCGACAAAAAAUAUAUAUUGGUCGCGCAAAGUUUUGAGCAACAAAAAAUAUUGGUCGCGCAAAGUGUAAAGUUUUUUUUUUUAUUUUAAAAACCCGCGUCCCAUUUUUGGUACUCGCCCAAAUUUUUUGAGUUUUGCACGACGAACUGUUGGUCUCGCAAACUUUUGAGAGACGAAAAAUUGGUUCGUAGUACAAUAUUUAUAAAAAUAAUUGUUACGAAUAAUAAAAAAUAAAAAAAAAUUAUUUUAUGAUUUAAAAUAUAAUUAAGGUGAAAGCUACUUAAUAAAUGUAUAUACUAUUCAAUUUCUUAAGUGUUAUACGUACAAAAUAAAUUAAUUUAAAGCUACUUAAUAAAUAUAUAUAUAUAGACACACACCAUUCAACGAUCCAACCGUAAGACUUGUUUGUAUAUACUUCAAGAUCGUAUACCCCAAAAAUCGUAAAAAAUAAACAUUCAGAGAUCUAGUAACGGGACAAAACUUUUCGAUGGUUAUAAAUGAAAAAUCACAAUUUAACGGUAAUUUUAACUCCGAUUUUGAUGAUUUUUUUUACAGCUACACUCCUUGACCCUAUAUGAAUACAAUGACUGAAUUUGAUCUUCAAUUUAAAAUAUUUACACUAGUGGAUACCACAAAAUCUUAUAUUAUAUUUAAAGAAAGUAUAAAUAAACUCUUAAUUGUUAGUGAAUAUUUUGUUUUGAUGGCAUAUGCAUUCUACGAAACUAGUUUCAACGAUCCAACCGUCAAACUUGUUUGUUUAUACUUCGAGAUCAUAUACGCCAAAAAUCAGAAAAAAGAAACAUUCAUAGAUCAAAUAACAGGACAAAACUUUUCGACGGUUAUAAAUGAAAAAUCAUGAUUUAACGGUUAUUUUAACUCCGAUUUUGAUGAUUUUUUACAGCUACACUCCUUGACCCUAUAUGAAUACAAUGACUGAAUUUGAUCUUCAAUUUAAAAUAUUUACACUAGUGGAUACCACAAAAUCUUAUGUUAUAUUUAACGAAAGUAUAAAUAAACUCUUAAUUCUUAGUGAAUAUAUUGUUUUGAUGGCAUACGCAUUCUACGAAACUAGUUUCAACAAUCCAAUCGUCAAACUUGAUUGUUUAUACUUCGAGAUCAUAUACACCAAAAAUCGGAAAAAAUAAACAUUCAAAGAUCAAGUAACGGGACAAAACUUUUCGACGGUUAUAAAUGAAAAAUCAUGAUUUAACGGUUAUUUUAACUCCGAUUUUGAUGAUUUUUUACAGCUACACUCCUUGACCCUAUAUGAAUACAAUGAAUGAAUUUGAUCUUCAAUUUAAAAUAUUUACACUAGUUGAUACCACAAAAUCUUAUGUUAUAUUUAACGAAAGUAUAAAUAAACUCUUAAUUGUUAGUGAAUAUAUUGUUUUGAUGGCAUACACAUUCUACGAAACUAGUUUCAACAAUCCAACCAUCAAACUUGUUUGUUUAUACUUCGAGAUCAUAUACGCUAAAAAUCGGAAAAAAUAAACAUUCAGAGAUCAAGUAACGGGACAAAACUUUUCGACGGUUAUAAAUGAAAAAUCAUGGUUAUUUUAACUCCGAUUUUGAUGAUUUUUUACAGCUACACUCCUUGACCCUAUAUGAAUACAAUGACUGAAUUUGAUCUUCAAUUUAAAAUAUUUACACUAGUGGAUACCACAAAAUGUUAUGUUAUAUUUAACGAAAGUAUAAAUAAACUCUUAAUUGUUAGUGAAUAUAUUGUUUUGAUGGCAUAUGCAUUCAACAAAACUAGUUUCAACGAUCCAAUCGUCAAACUUGUUUGUUUAUACUACGAGAUCAUAUACGCCAAAAAUCGGAAAAAAUAAACAUUCAGAGAUCAAGUAAUGGGACAAAACUUUUCGACGGUUAUAAUGAAAAAUCACGAUUUAACGGUUAUUUUAACUCUGAUUUUGAUGAUUUUUUACAACUACACUCCUUGACCCUAUAUGAAUACAAUGAACUAAUUCGAUCGUCAAUUUAAAAUAUAUAUUUUCUAAUAAAAAUCCAAUCUGAACAACAAUAAUAUAUUUUUCUAACAAAAAUCCGAUCCAAUCUAAAAUAAUAAAUUUAAAGCUACUUAAUAAAUAUAUAUAUACCAUUUUAUUUCUUAAAUGUUAUGCAUACAAAAUAAAAAACAAAAAUAAAUUGGUUUAGGCGACGAAAUGUUUGGAUUACGUCAUGCAAAGAUUUUAAAAAAUAAUUUUUUAAUUUUAUUUAUUUUUAUAAGGACUUUGUGCGACGAAGUUUACUGUUUCGUCGCACAAAGUCACUUUGAGCAACGAAUUAUUUUUUGUCGCGCAAAAUUUGGUCGCGCAAGACUUUGAGCGACGAUGUAUUGUCGUCGCGUGAAGUGACUUUGCGUGAUGAAUUAUUUUUCAUCGCGCAAGCCUUUAAGCGACGAAGUUUCGAGUUUCAUCGCCCAAAGUGACUUUAAGUGACGAAUUGUUUUUCAUCGCCCAAAAUUUGGUCGCGCAAGGGGUUUUUUUUACUAGUGUAUGAUCAGUGGCAACAAAGUCAAUUAACCUGUCAAAAUCUGAAUGUAACCUGGAAGAGUUUAAGGUUCAACUAUUGUUACCUUGGGAGUUACUUCGAGAACUCAUACUUCCCUGAGUUGGAAAAGUUCUUUAUUUACAAGAGCAUAAGUCUACUCAAUUAUCGACAAGCUAUUCACCCCUUAUGUCUUAUUAAAACCGUAUACUAUUGACACCAUCUACUAUGGUUUGUGUCAUUCUAAUAUUCUACAAGAUUCUUGUAAAUAUUGCAUUACCUGUUUUGUUAGGAUUAGUUUUUAUAUUUUCCUUGGGUAAGAAGGCAUUGUACACUAUAUAUACACCUCAUUUGAGAGAAGAAAUAUAUCUCAUAAAUUUACCAUAUAUCCUUAUAUUUGACUUGGUAUCAGAGCUAGGUUAUAUUUGCCCUAGAAUAGCCGAACCCCCUUACUGCUACAAAUUUUUUAUUUUUUGCCUAUUAUUUUGUUUUAAUUCCUUGUGGUGUUCUUUGUCUCCAUGAGGGAAUGCAGGAUUUGUUUGAUGAAGAUGAACAAUCCAAUGAGGUACCACUAAUUACCUCAAGGGGUUCUGGUCAGCCUAUGUCAAUUAUCAAUGUUCAUCAUGAUUCUUCUGCUGCUCCUACAAUUGUCCUACAAUUGUCAAAUUGAAUGGAACAAGUUAUUCAGUAUGGUCCCAACUGCUUGAGCUACAUGUUGAAGAGAAAAUAUGGGUAUCUGACAGGCGCUUCUGCUGCACCAGCUCUCGUAGCCUCCAAUUACAAUAAGUGGUAUGCUAAAAAUGCAAUUGUGAAGGGAUGGUUGAUUCAAUCUAUGGAGCCUAAUAUUAUGCAAAUUUUCCUUCCCUACAAAACUGCCAAAGAUGCAUGGGAGAAUGUGAAAAAAAAAAUACUAUGAUGGCCAAGAUCAGUCAUAGAUUUAAGAGUUAACUUGUUGGGCAUUCAAGGAGAAAAAGUAUGGGCGACAACUUGUCACAUACUAGGUAGAAUUGCAAAGUAUGUGGCACGAGAUUGAUUAUUGAUGACCAAAUAAAUUUACUAAUUCAGCAGAUAUUUUGCUUCGUCACUAGGAGAUUGAGAUCGAGAGGGUUUAUGUAUUUUUAGUUGGAUUAGAUGAUGUGUUUGACAGAGUUUGUGGCAAUAUUCUUGGCAUGGAUCCGUUUUUGAAUUUGGAGAAAGCUUUUUCAUGUGUCGGACGAGAAGACUAGCGGCGAUCCACCAUGAUGGUGCCACCAACCUCGGUGAACACUGGAGUUGUUAUGGCAGCAAGGAACUCCAGGCCUGCCUCUUCCUACAAUCCUGCCAAUUCUACAAUUAAUGGACCUACAAAGCACUCUAUGCCUGCCUCUGCCUACAAACAUGCAGGUUCUACAACUAACAGACCUGCAGGUUCUACAAGACCCAGUGGUCUGCAACGAGUUAAACCUCAGAAUUGUGAAAGGUGUACUCAUUGUAACAACACGAAUCACUUUGUAACUGAUUGCUUUAAAUUACAUGGCUAUCCAGAAUGGUGAGAUGAAUUCAAGGAGCAUAACAAGGCCAAAGCAGCCGCUGAACGAUACGCACAAGGCAAGGUCGCACUCUGCAUAGGAUCUCCCGACCCUUAUGUCCCACAAGCUUCCCCUAUGCCAUCCGUCUCCUCCUCCACUGUUCCUCCAGGUUUUGCCGCCCUCCCUACAGGUGAUUCAGUCACUUCUUCCAAUACCUCAGGUAGUGCUUUUGUUGGCUUAGAGCAUCAACAAUGGGCUCCCUAAACCACCUCCUUAGACAAAUUUUAGGGAGGAAUUGUAAAAAUACAACUCCAACCAUGCUCCCUAUCCACCUCCUAAAAUAGGGAGACCUCUAGGAGCUCCUAAAUCUGAGGAGAGAGAAAGGAGUGGUUCCCUAUAAUUUAAUGCAGCUUUAUUUAAUGAGUAUAUCAAACCUUUAUUUAAUGCUAACUAUUUUUUAUUUUAUUUUUUAAUAGAGAUGGAUCAAUCAAAAAAGAGUUAUAGCAUUUAUGACUCCCUAAACUAGAGAGCACGAUUGAAGUUUAAAUUUUAUAGAGAGCUUCUAAAACAACUUUUAUAUGUUUUUAGCUAAAAUUUAACUAAAAAAUAGAGAGCAUGAUUGUGGAUGAUCUUAGAUAUUAGUUCUGGUUGGAUUAUUGAUUCAGGUGCUUCAAAUCACAUGACAUUUGACCCGACAAAUUUGAAGACUCAGACUACUCCUAGCCUUACUAGUAUGGCAAAUGCGAAUGGCCAAUCCUACCCUGUGAUUAGGGUAGGCACUGUUGAUCUUUCUCCAAAUUUAACUUUGGAACAUGUUCUUCUUGUUCCUUCUUUAUCUCAGAAUUUAUUAUUUGUUGGACAAGUGACUGAACAAGUAGAUUGUUUUGUAUUAAUCUAUCCCUUGUUUUGCCUUCUUCAGGAUAUUUGAACCCAAGAAAUAAUUGGGCGUGGUACUAAGAGAGGGGGACUAUAUUAUGUGGAUAAUGUUUGCACGAGGGAGGCUCUUAUUGCUCACAACUCAGCUGCAGAGAAGAAGAAAAAAAAAUUUGGUUAUGGCAUUGGCGUUUAGGACAUGCUUCUUUUGGUUAUUUAAAACAUUUAUUUCCAACUUUAUUUUUGGAUUUGGAUAUUUCCAGUCUUCAGUGUGAAACUUGUAUUCUUGUCAAGAGUCACCGUGUUUCAUACCCUAUUAGUUUCAAUAAGAAUGAUAAACCUUUUGCUCUUAUUAAUUCUGAUGUAUGGGGUCCUUCCCCGGUAUCUACAAUCUCUGUAAUUAGAUGGUUUGUGACUUUUGUUGAUGAUUAUACGAGAAUAACAUGGAUAUAUUUUAUGAAACAUAAGAGUGAGGCUUUUGGUCUCUUUGAGCAAUUCUUCUCCAUGAAACUACAUAUCCCUAUACCCUUCAACAAAAUGGGGUUGCUGAACGAAAAAACUGCCAUAUUCUUGAGACGGCCAUGAGUAUUUUGAUACAAGCACAUAUGCCUAAGAUGUUUUGGGGUAAUGCUAUAUUAUAUGCAAUGUAUUUAUUAAAUCGUAUGCCCUCUUCUUUCCAUGGAUACAAGACACCACUGGAUGUUUUGAAUUCGACACAUCCCCUACCGUCAGUCCUAACUCUCCAUUCCUACAUUUUUUGUUGUAUAGCCUACUUUCACAUCCUUAAACACCUCCGGUCUAAAUUGGAUCCAUGUGCUCUUAAAUGUGUGUUUGUGGGUUUCUCCCCAUAUUCCAAAGGAUAUCGAUGCUACCUUCCUCCGACAAAGCUCACGUAUGUCACAAUGGAUGUCACUUUCUUAGAGUUGUCUAAAUUGGACAAUUAUGUUACUUGAUAUUACCAUAGAAAGAGAAGCAGUGAUUUGCAAUGAAAAAGAGAAUGCAGUCACUUCAGUUAAGGACCUGGCGCCACGUCUUGCUAACCCCACUUUGUUCCUUGCAACUCCACAUAUCGCAUAUAAUUGUUCUCCCUCUUCUACACCAAUAGUACAUGUCCAAAUUCCUAAGGCUUCGGAUAACCCUGAGGUAAGUACAAAAGCUUUGAUUAAUACUGGCAAUUUAAUUACAAAUGAUAUUGAUAGUGUUGCAAAAAAAGGUAUCAAUUGCCUCCCAUACGUAAAAGAAGAAUUCCACCGGAUCGUUUUUCACCUAAAAAUUCAAAGAAGUCGAACUACUCAAUUGCAAACUAUGUCUCUACUCAUCGAUUAUCUGAAGCAUAUGCGGUUUUUGCUAAUCAGAUGACUGCUGAAUUUAUUCCAUCAAACUUGGGAUUUAGUUUCAUUGCCACAAGGAAAACGACGAGUUGGAUGCAGAUGGAUUUUUACAAUUAAUACACAAGGUAGAUGGUACCAUUGAUAGAUACAAGGUGAGAUUGGUUGCCAAAGGAUAUACUCAGAUAUAUGGUGUUGAUUAUCAGGAAACUUUUGCACUAGUUGAAAAAAUGAACACAGUUCGUGUUCUAAUAUCACUUGCAGCAAAUUUAGAUUGGCCACUCUAACAAUUUGAUGUGAAAAAUGCUUUCCCACAUGGAGAAUUGAAGGAAGAAGUUUAUAUGAGCCUACCUCCAGGAUUUGAUGUAUCGGAAAAUCCAAAUUUGGUGUGCAAGUUGAGGAAGUUACUCUAUGGGUCGAAGCAGUCUCCUAAAGCUUGGUUUGGCAAAUUCAGUUGUGCCAUGAAGAAAUAUGGUUAUCGUCAAAGCAAUGCAGAUCAUACUUUGUUUCUGAAGAGGAGGAAGGGGAAGGUCACUGUUUUAAUUAUAUAUGUUGGUGAUAUGAUAAUAACAGGUGAUGAUACAGAAGAGAUUGAUAAAUUAAAACAUUAUUUAUCAACUGAGUUUGAGAUGAACGAUCUUGGAGGGCUAAAAUAUUUUUUGGGAAUUGAAGUGACUAGAUCUCAACAGGGUAUUUUCUUGUCACGGAGAAAAUAUGUGUUAGAUUUAUUGAAUGAAAUUGGGAUGCUUUGGUGUAAACCUGCUGAUACUCUUAUUGUGCAGACCCAUAAUCUUGAGAUUCUUCUAGAUCAAGUUCCAACUAAUUAAUAAAGACAGGUACCAGAGGUUAGUUGGUAGACUUAUUUAUAUAUCUCACACCAGGCCAGAUAUUGCUUAUGCUAUUAGUGUUGUGAGUCAAUUUAUGCAUUCUCCUAGUGAAGUUCAUAUGGAAGCAGUUAUGCGAAUUUUACAGUAUCUGAACUCCGCUCCUGGCAAAAGGCUGAUAUUCUCAAAACAUGGACAUUUGGAAAUUGAAGGUUUUACAGAUGCCGAUUGGCCAGGAAAUCAAACUGAUAAGCAUUCAACAUCAGGUUAUUUUACAUUUGUGGGUGGUAACCUUGUUACUUGGCGAAGCAAGAAGCAGAAGGUUUGUUCUUUGUCUAGUGUGGAAGCUGAGUAUCGAAGCAUGGUUCAUGGCAUAUGUGAGAUGUUGUGGAUUCGGAAAUUAUUGAAGGAAUUGGGCUUCGUGGCUAAAGAUGCCACGAAAUUGUAUUGAGAUAAUCAAGCUACAAUCGACAUAGCUAAUAAUCCAGUCCAACAUGAUCGUACUAAACAUGUGGAGAUUGACAGAUAAUUUAUUAAUGAAAAAUUGGAAAGCAAUGUGAUUAGUUUGCCACAUGUGAAAUCAGAUAAACAACUCGCAGAUGUUUUGACUAAAGCAGUGUCUAGCCAAGUAUUUAGUGACUCACUUGACAAGUGGGGCAUGGGUGACAUCUAUGCACCAACUUGAGGGGGAGUGUUAGUAUGAAAAUUGUAUUGUCAUUUCCUAGACUCUAGCAUAGGUUGGGAAUCAGUGUGGGAACAUGUUUUACUGGAAGCUUUGGCGCAACACAUUCAUUCUGGAUCUUUGAAGUAUGACGUGAUCGAUAUGAGAAACUGAGUUCAGGUAAAUCAUGACAUAAUCAUGCAUUCAUUAUAGGAUUCCUAGUUGGAGUUAUUUUCAAUCAAGUAUUUUCAUGUUAAUCCUAUUUUUAAUAGGAUUAGAUUUUAUAUCUUGAGAUUAUUUUCCUAAUUAAACUCUAUUUUGAUUUAAGUUAAAAGAUUAUGUUUUCAUCAUUUUGGUCUUGGAAAGUUGUUUCAAUUAAUAUUCUAUUUGGCUUCGUUGUUUACAUGUUGAUAUACAUUGUUUCAUUGGAUAACAAUCGAUGGUUGGAAAACCAUCUUUUAUACUAUAGAACAUGAUGAAACCAUAUAGGAUUCCAAGACUGUCAAAUUGAAUGCAUGACAAGACUUUGAGUUGGGGCUAUGGGCCUUCACGUGAUUGUGAAGAAUAGGUUUUGUAUAAAUCAUUGUGUGCAUCUCUUUUAUCAUAUAUAGCUUUCCCAUAUUUUGUUCGUGUAGAAAGCUACUGUGCAUAUAUUUGAGAUAAAUCAUCAAAGUGUUCCAUGUUUACUUGGUGAUUUAUCAAACACUUUAAUCAUUCAUAUUGCAUUCAUAUGCAUGUUGGUGACUCAUACGGUUGAGGGCACCAAGACCGUGGUGGCGGUUUUCCUCCGGCGAGCUUGAAGUAAUCAUGGCCAGUAUUGCGUUCAACAUAAGGAGUGUCGAAGAUCAUCCUGUGACAGAAGUUGAGUUACGAAGAAGUCAGUAAACAUUAUCUAGAAUGAGUCUAGGAUAAGUGUGUAAGUACUUCUUGGAAUCAUCAUUCUAUAGUGGAUUUGAGUUGGACUGAGGAGUCUCGUGGAUUUUCCCCAGAGGUGGGAUUUUACCACGUAAAAUAAUUCUCUGCAUGUUCUUUUAUUUUAUGCUCAGCACGUUUCAGAAUUGAUAAGCCAUAUCAAUCAUGUUACCGAAGUUUAUUUUUACUUAUUUGAUUAUAAUCUUAAAUUGGCCUAUUCACCCUCCUCUAGGCAUUUUUAGUCAUCUACAGGUAUUAUCAGUGAGUGCUGGCGUUAGUCUUAUUUUAGGUAAGAAAUUAAUAUAAGGAUUCUUGUAAAUAUUGUAUUACCUGUUCUGUUAGGAUUAGUUUUUAUCUUUUCCUUGGGUAAGAAGGCAUUAUACACUAUAUAUACACCUCCUUUGAGAGAAGAAAUAUAUCUCAUAAAUUUACCAUAUAACUUAUAUUUGACUCUUUGCUCAUCUAUUCUAGCAUAGUUUAGAACCUGUUAACAAGUAUUGUGCCCUAUUUGUUCAUAUUGUUUCAUUUGGCUUCUAUUUUUAUGAAUUUUUCUGUUCUUCGUUUCUCUUAAUAGUUUGCAACUUGUUCUUAUUAGUAAUAUCCUUUGUUUUGAGGGUGAUCAUGAGCAUGAACUUUGACAUACAGAAUGUCGAGCAACAGCAGCAGUAGUGACGUUCGAUAUAUGCUAACAUUGUAGGAAAAAAUGUGACGGUGCUGGUUUGGAAUUUAGAAUAUCCAGAUCAGCCGACAAUUACAAUCAUUCUUAUUGGGCAUGCACUAAGUGUGGACAGUUCAGUGAGUGGGUAAAUGGAGCUGAGAUAAAUACAAUAGGUUGAUGCAGGAUCGUGAGAAAUUAUUAUUUUCAGCAUUUAACGAUAUGUCUACCAAACUUGAAGUAAUUGGUGAAGUUGUUCGAAGGUGCUUGAAGAUAAACAAGAGUCUUCAGUGUAGUCUUUGUACUAUUUUUUCCAUUGUAAUGGCAAUAUUUGUGUUAAUAUGUGUCCUUGUAAUUUCACAUAAAAAAAAAAGAGAAGGAAAAAUGCUUGCCUUGCUCUUUGAACAAUAUUACGUAUGUAUGGCUUCAUAUCUCAUGUUUCUGUUUUUCCUCUAUCCUUCAAUGUCCCUGUCUGUUCUACCCCGGAAAUUCAUCCGCAGUGGCCUGGUGUUGGUCUUGGGAUUGUUUUCGUGUUGUUUGCGUAGGCAUGCCACUGUUGGUAGCGAAAGCUCCAACAGAAAGUGACUGAAAAAUGUAAAAUGCACUCCAAUAUCGACUCUAAUCAAUCGAUAGUGAGUUGGGUGGGGAACUGACCCAAUAUAGGUUCUUUUAUAUGCCUCAAUGAAGAGGAUUUCAAUAUUUUUCUAGUGCAAAGACAAAAGUUUUUUUUUUUUUUUUUAUAUAUAAAAAAAACAGAAAUAAAAAUGAGAAACAUGAUAUGGAACUGAAGAUUUCUCGAUUCAAUUCAUUAUCAAUACAAACUCAAAGUAAAUGACAGAUAAACUGAGGAUUUGUCUACUCAGUUCAUUGUAGCUAUAGACUUGAAAAGUAAAUGACAGUAAUGAAAAUGAUGGAUGUUCAUAUGAAGAUUUCUCUAUUCAUAUAAACAAUGGAAUAAAAGUAAACAACAUAGCUUGAAAAUUUCUCUAUUCAGACUUUAUUUAUAGAGAAAAUGAAGUGGGUUGAGUGUUGGGCCCAACAGCCAAUGAGACGUACCCACUUGCCAUUGAUUUUGGUGGGUGGGUUGCUGAAAAAGCAAACAAAAUUAGAAGAGUACUGUUAUUUCUAUCCACAUGUCCUAUUUUUCCACCCACUUUAUCUUCCCACCCACCAUAUAAAUUUUAAAAAAACACAAUCCUAUUUUUCCACCCACCAAUAUUCCUAAAAUACCUUUUUAAUUAUUACCUCAUCCCAUCUCUCCUUUAUUCUCUCUGCUCAUGUCUUCUCUCUCUCUCUCUCUCUCUCAUUUUUGCUCUAUCUUAUUUUCCAUCUCUCACACUCCAUCUCUCUCUGUCUCUCAUGUUUACUAUAAAACUAAAAAUGUUUUUUACUAUAAUUUUUAUUUUUAUUUUUGUAAAUAUGGAUUCUGUGAAUAUAAUCAUAUUUAUGCUCUUACCUUUUCAUGAAAAUCAUUCUCUUCAACAUUCAUUCUCUUGUUGUUUUCUUCUUCAUAAACAAUUUGAUUGAAUGAAUAGAAAAGAGAAGAAAAUUAUUUGAGAAUUGAGUUCUGAGCACUGAAAAGCCUUCUUCACCUUCUCAUGAGCAAGGAGUUGUAUUCUUGUUUUUUUUUUUCUUUCUGUCAAACGAUAGGGUUGGUGAAGCUAUGUCUUUUUUUUUUUCCUCUUUCUUUUUCCUUAAGUCCUUUUAAGUCAUUUUACAAUAGGGUUAAAUUUGUCUUUAAAAGUUUAAAGAUAAGGUGGGUGGGAAAAUAGGACAAGUGGGUGAAAAUAACAACAUUCAAUUAGAAAAGUUGCUUUGGUGAAGCUCCCUAGGUAAUUCAAAAUAUCUUCCAAGCAAAACUUGUUUCCCUCCAUCAGCAAGCUUAAAUCAUUCAUUUUUAAAAAAAAAAAAAAAUAAGCUCAAGCCUCCAUGCUGACUCAUGCACCUCCAUUAACUUAACAAAAGUUGGCCAGCAUAUGCCCUUGCUUCUUCUUUGAUCCUGCUUUGAUGCGUGACGAUUCCAGCAUGCUAUAUUUAUCCAAAUGCUACUAAAUUUUAGUAUGUUGUUCUAUACAUAUAGAGGAACAAUGUUUGUGAAGAACUCGAAUCCAUUUGAGACUGGAAAAUACGAUUUGGCAUGGCUCAAACUGACUAGUUGUCAGAGACAGUUCCUUCGAGUAGACUUCAUUGUUUAAUUCACUGAGUAUUCUACUCUUAUCCAAAUGACGCUACAUUUGGACAAAAUAUAGUAGUCACGCAUUUGAACCACUUUCAUGAAGAACAGAAAUUCAUUUGAGCAUUGAAAACUGCUCAUCGGAUUGGAAGUUCGGCAUAUUGGGUGGGAAAACAUGUUUCAGUAUUUCAUGCCCUGAAGAGUCAGUACAUAUCCCAACGCUGUAAAUUUGGGAUAUAUUGGAAACAUCCAAAUGAACAACUUUUAUGAAGAAAGAACUUCAUUUGAGCAUUGGAUGUUGCUCAUCGGGCUGGAUUCAUCUGACUGCUGCUAAAAUUGCAUGUAUGAGUGAGAAAGUAUGUGCAUCUACAAAGUUAUUGCCAAAUUCAGGGCUGAAAAAAUGCAUGUGGAACCUUCUAAAAUUCACACUGGUCACCAAGCAAAUGGGCCUUUUAUAGUCAAACCCCGAAAAGUUUUUCUUCAAUUAAGCAGUAUAAAAAAUGUAAGGGGGGAUGAAAUAAAAUAAUGAAUUCAAUAGAUAAAAGAGAGCAACAAAAAGAGGAUCGCUAUCAUCAAGCGAGAAGAAUCAAAACUAAAAACCAUGGAAUGGGCAAAUGGUAGUUUCUGAAGAAGUUGUCCCAAAACUGAACACUGUCAGUACUGUCUGCACUUACAAGGUUCCCACACCUGGAGAAAAGAAACAAGUUGAUUUUCAGAAAAGGUAGUUCAGGACCUAAACACCAAUGGAUGCAGACCAACUGAAAAAUCAAUUUCAUAAGCUACAGAAAAUAAUAACGUCACAGCUCAAUUCUACCUUAACCUCCGAGUCCAACUGUAAUCCUGUAGAUUUCAUGCCCCAGUUUAGCAUCCCAGUAUCUUAUAAUCCUGCCCAAUGAAAAAGAAAAAACUAAGAAAGCAACAUGAUGAAAUAAAAGAAGAUCGAGAUGACCAAAACGCCAUAGCCAUGGGAAAAAUAGGGCAGUGUCAGUGGCGUCACUUACCUGACCUUGUUAUUCACCAAAUCAUCCAACUCCUUCCAACUAGAGCUGCCGUGCGCAUGAGUUUUCUUUCCAAGGGGUAGACGUGUGGUCUUCGGUCCCGGUAUUAGAUUUUGACUAGGGCGCGCAAGACAGCCUUGAUGAUCACCCCAGUUCAAAGUUCAUCAACUUGGUGGAAAGGUGUUUGGAAUUUCAUAAAGGAAGAUAAGGUCGACUUAGAUAAAGACGAUAUUGCCUUUUCUAGAGCUAAUGGGUAUUUUCCAGUAGCGCUUCUUUCCUUGUAGACAAGCUUAUUUGGAGCAAAAUUAUAUUUUUGAUACUUUUUUUUUUAGAAUCUUUUGCUCAUUGUAGACAUUUCCUCGCAAGGAGUUGCAACCCUCCACAACUCUAUCAGUGUGCCCACAAGUUGCUUGAUCUAAUGCCUCAAAGAGGCUUUUAUUUAUUUAUUUAUUAUUAUUACUAUUUUAUGCGUAGCUGCUGCGCAUACAACUCACAUAGCUAAAUAUUUUUUUCUCAUUCCCUGUCCCAAAACGUUUGGGACUAGGACAAAGCAAAAAAAGAAAGAAGAAGCCUUACCAACAAUCUAGAGGAAACGUUGAUAAGGUGCAAGGUAUUUUUUUCACUCCACAAUUUUGGUCCAAGCUUUGACAAAAACUAGGAGUAGUCAUGGGGGUUGGGUUAGGAGUUUUCAGUAUGUUUCUUUAUUUUGUAUUUCUGGUGCUAUCUGUUUUGCAUUAGGUGUUGGUGGUUUUGGAUGUAGCUUCUAGCCUCUGCUUAUGCUUUUGUAUUUCUAUUGUUGGUUUCUCAGUUGUGUUGUGUUUCUUUAACGUAUUCAUUCUGGCCAUGUGUGGCUGUGUGGGGAGUUACAUUGUUGAUGUCGGUGUACUCUCCCUGGACUAACCUUUGAUGGUUACUGUGCCUCCAUCUUUGUAUUAACCCUAAAAAUUGGGUAUCUGUAUCCUAAAAAUUGGGUAUAUUCCUUCAGGUUCUGUAUUUAGGUGACUGAUGUGGGUGACAGAGUUCAAGCUUGGAUAGAAAUAUAAGUAAAAUCAUGUAAUUGCAAUCUAUUAAAAUCAUAAGUAAAAUCCUAAGUGAAUUAAAAAUCAUAAGUAAAAUCAUGUAAUUGCAAUCUAUUAAAAUCAUGAGUAAAAUCAUAUAAUUACAAAUCCGGCUGAAAUCCAUUACAUUAAAAUCAUGUAAUUACAAUAUAUUAAAAUCUCAUUAGAUAAACUCACGCUUCACAUGAGAUACGCUAAAGACUAUGAAACUAGAGUAAAUAAAUAGUGGGAUUUUGCAGUUGAGAGAAGCGUCGAAUAGUUCAGUAUGAACCUUACUAAUUAAAGUUUUGUUAGACUACUACUCCUUAGCCUUGGAGACCCUUUUUUUUUUUUAAAAUGAAAAAUCGUAACUAGCUUAAAUUUGGAGUAUGUGACAUGCAGCAAUCUUUUACAUACUGUAGAGAAAAUCGGCGCCAGAAGAGUAUUAUCUCGUGUGAAUCCCGCAACCUGAAAUAUAUCUAUGCUGAGCUCCUCCUAAAUAACUUCAUACUGUGUGGAUACCAAUAUGGUGUGAAGGCCAAAAUCAAUGAACCAGGUCUAAUUUCCUUAUCUUUUAAAAUUUGAUUGCUGGGCCUACAUUCAGACUCUACACAAGAAGCAUUUCCCUAAUCUCAGAGAUUAUCUUCUAAAAUUUGAUUGCUCCGAACAACUAGCCUAUUUAUUUAUGAUGCUGCGGUACUACCAUACUUACUGCUUGAUAUAUUUUGAUCCCUUUCUCAGUUUCUGCCAUUAAUUCUUACCAGUUCACCUUUCUUUUUUCUUGUGCAUGGACGACAGUGUAGGUUUUCAUCUUUCCAGAAACUUUGAGAAAGGCCCUCCUCCCUCCACCAUUGCCUAGACUCAGACAUCUUCAGGUCUUCAUGCUCACUUCUCCAACAGAGGCUACAGGUUCUGCAUUGUUGAACUCUUUACUUUGGAUGGCAACUUCUGCUAAGAUUAGUUCUAACAUAAUUUAAUUGGAAGGGGAUUGUGAAAUAGUUUGAAUGAAAGUUAAAUUUGUUUAGAUGCUUCUCUUGUUUCUAACUAGUUUCUUGGAAUGCAGAGAAAGUGUCUAUUCGGAAUUUCAGUUUGCUUUGCGUGCCAAUUUGAAUGCUAUCUACAUUCUCUCUUACCUUCUUCUUGUAGGGGCUUUUUUCUUCCGGCAGCUACAAAUGGGCUGGGCUGCCGUAAGGAGCGAACUGAAGAAAUCAUCCCCUAUGCUUGAGUUCAGAAAUCAAGCCCCAAGAAUGAUUCGAAAGGAUAGAGAAGCUUUAGGAAACACCUUGGUUACCUUCACCAACAAAAAUGACAACAACUUACAGAUAAAUUUUCUAGCUUAACAUUAGAGGCUUGUGGCAUAGGAGCAAAAUUGUCAUGAGUUUAGCACUGAAGAGAAAACUAAGUGUUCCUGGGGGAAAAGGGGUAUUAAGGUAGGAGAUGAAGAGUUUGCAGAGAGGUUUGGCUGAGAAUAAGGAAAAAGGAAGGAAUGAGUGGCUUAAGUAUUAUUUCCGGUAGCUUGACAGUGACUCUGUCAAAUGCUAGAGCAGCCUACUAGAAAGGGGAAAAAUGGGGAGGAGGAUGAACAGAGCACAAAUUUGUUGGGUGUUGCAGGUGAGAGAGGAAGCUUGCUCUCUGAAAUGUGGGUUAUCUUUGGUUGGGUAGAAGAAGCCCCUUUUAUAGCCGCUGGAAGCCAUCUUAUUCCACGAAACCCUAAUGGUUUCUAUCUAAUUUGGCCAAGCUUUUUCCUUCCUUUCUCCUCCCCUUCUUUGACUUAUCUUAUUCUAGCAAAAUCUUCUCUGUCCAAUCUCACAAAAUCAGGAAUUUUUGGGAGCUCAAUGCUCUUUCCCACAACUGCCUCUAUUUCCAGCCAUCUCCUUCUUUUCUUUUCUUCCUUCUUCCAUGGCUAGGUCUGAUAAGGGAAAGAGAAUGGGUAUGCAUACAGUUCAAAAGUCGAUUCCUCUCCUAGCAGGCUGCGUGGUCCCUUGGGUGUCUUUUGCUUGAAACUUGCUCAUUUCCCAUGUGCUGAAACCUCCCAGCAGCUUUGUAUAAUGGACCUUCAGACUUCCCCCUCGUGGCUUUUGUUUUACCAGACAAGUGAUGGGGCUUUGCAGCCUGCUAGGAGAGUAAGUGCCAAGUUGUGAUUUACCAAGUAAGUGGGCUAUCCUUAUCAAGCAUUAGGCUUUUUGGUUGAGUUAAUGGGCUAUUUUUCUCUUUGUACUCACCCACAUGUUUGGGCCUAAGAAAUGGGCUUGAGUUCCGAGUCUCCUAAGCAAUUCGGGACUUCCAUUUCUCGGCCCAUCAAUGGGCCUCAUGACAAUUUAUUACCAUCCAUACCACAACCCACUCAAGCAAGCCUCGGGCAUUUGAGUGACUUAGGCCCACUUAAGCUUGUGGUGUGAUUGGGUGCAGAAUAAUAAUUCCUUACUUGGCGUGCUUCAAUUUUAUCGUCCUUGAAGAGGGACACGGUACUUAGUUUAGCAUAGGCUUGUAUUUUAUAAUAUUAUCUUAGUCCUUAGCAUGACAAAUUAUUUAUUUAGCAUGACAUGUAGACUAUGACUUGUAUAUGACGAGCCUUCGUGUACUCCAAUAUGUGACUUUUUUUAAUACAAUAUCAUAUUGGGCCGAAAACUUAUUUGGGCCUAACCGUGGACUUUUUUGGGCCUCAACACUCUUUUCUACCUUUCAGCUACUAACUUUGAAAGAAAAUAAAUAAAUAAAUAAAUAAUCCAAUGAUGUGCGAACUCUCCUUUGUUUACGUUAGAAAUCUUCUUCACCACUGCAGGCUAAAGCUUACAUUUUGUUUUCAAUCACGUUGCAUUACAUAUGACCAUCUCUAUAUUACUUAAAUCUCUGGCGCCCAUCCCCGUUAUGUUCUUCUUCUUCUUCUCUAAAUUGAGCAAAUGAACUUGUUGGUCCCUUUUCCCGCUAGCACUCUUUUUGUUAUACUCUGGAUCUAGCUGCUCUAGAGAGUGGGAAGGUCGUCGAGUCAACACCAAUGCCCCGAUUGGAUUUCUGGCCUGCAAGGGGAUUCUUCCAACUUCUGAACAAAAUUGAAAGUUGGAUCAGGUUGACAAGAACGGGCUGGGCCCUUAACAACUUGUUCCUUAUGUCCUGAUCAUGAAUUGCAUAGGUGUGCCACUACUGGGGAUGAGACCAGCCCAAUAGAUCUGGUAUAUGUAGUGUAGAAUAUUGACUUUUUGGAUUUACACUUAUUCUGGACUUCUGUUCUAGCCAUUGUGCUCCAGGGGAGGUACUGGCCUGGAUAGGUCUCCCCGACAUUUAGGGUUGAUCAAAGAAAUAGGAUGUCGGCUACAUUAGAGAGUGAGUCAGACAAAAUAUUGAGGGAUGGAAACAAUGCUAUUUGUCAAUGGCGGGCAAAGAGGUGCUAGUGACAGCAGUGGCUAUUGCAAUUCCAACUUAUCGCCUUAUCCCAUGUCAUGUUUCAAGCUCCUAGUUGCCUCCUGCAAAGAAAUCAAUGACGAUUUAAGAUCCAUUGGAAAGCUUGGGGUAAGCUGUGCCUUCCCAAAGAUCAAGGAUUAUGAAAAUUUGCAUGUUUUCAUAAUAAGCCAAAGUGCUUCGUAGAGAAAUAGUCUCAAACGAGAUUUUUGAAGAAAACAGUAGUGCAAUAUAUAAUGGUAAACAUAUUUAUCAACUUGCAUUAUUUUGUAAUGAUACAAACUGUUUAUUUUUCAUGUCUUCCUCAAGUACAAAAAAUCAUUCGAAUUAGAAACCAUUUGACCAAUUUUUACCAUUUGACCAUUUGACCAUUUGAUUAUAUGGUGGUCAAUGUGUUUUUGGGAAGCACCAUAUUCGAUCAUUUUCUUUGUCACAAAGAAGUCUUAAAGGUUUCAAAUUUAUCUAAGCUUUUGUAAUAAUGAUCUAUGAAUGAAGAAAUGAAAAUAGAUGGCUCAGUUGAUAGGAAACAAAGUGGAGUCCCUACUUACGCAUAAAAGAAGAACAAGAAUAAAUAAAUAAGGCCCUGUUUGGUGGGCUGGAUUGGACAUGACUUUUUCAAUUAAAAUGGAUUACAAUCCUGUCCGUUGUUUGGUGAGCUUAAAUGCACAACGGGACUGGUUUGGACUCAUAUUUUCUAUGGGAUAAUAGUCUAGCAAAUCCUAGUAUUGAAAACCUGAGGGGAACCACGGGUUUAGAAUGACAUCACCUCCUUUCUCCUUUCUCCUUCGAUCGCCUCCGCUUCCUCUCUCCUUCGUUCUUCUAUGCCCCUGCCUCCGCCUCUGCUCUUUCAAUUGUCUACGCCUUUUCCUCCUCCUCCUCGGCUAUCUGCUCUUUCAUACCCAGAAGUGUUGGAUCCCAAUCAAACAGUGAAAGGGCUAUAAAAGGUACUAACACAUUUUGGAUAGCUAGAAUCUCCGACUUGCUUCAAAUUUGCUGACUUGUCAAUAGUAUUCGCCAACUGUCAACCUGCGGGCAGUACACGUGUGUUAGUUUGUAAGAGAAUCUUUUGUUGUUUGGCGCCAAAACUCUUCCGAGUAUUGUAGACAAUGAAGACAAAUAGUAUAUUGGUUCUCUUCAAUUCAUUCUCCCUUCAUUUUGGCUUCUAUAAGAACUGUUCAUCGAAACCACCAAAAAUCCUAUACUACAAAAGUAUAGUUGUCAAGAAAUAACAAACCAAUUAAAUACUAACGUUUUCCAGUCACUACUCUUCCUAUUCUCUUUCUGCCUGCUAUUGUUUAGUUUUCAAGAAAGUUCCAAGAUGGAUCCAAGAAAGAAGGACGAGCCCUCAUUUGAAUUAUUUGAAGCUCUUGUGGAGGCUGCUGCCACCAUACAAAAGCAUGCCGAAAUAAUGGUCAUGCUACCUACCGGAGGGAUGCCCCAAAAGCACCCACACCGCAUUGAGUUUCUCCGUAAGUUCUGUAAGUCAACUUAUCCGACCGAAAAACAAGUGGCCGAGGCAGUGCUGGGCGUCACCAAUAAGGAUGAGCUCACCGAAGCACUUCUUCCCCUAAACCCUAUUGUUUAGUUUUCAAGAAGGAUCCAAGAUAGAAAGACAAUCCCUCAUUUGAAUUGUUUGAAACUCUUGUGAAGGCCGCUGCCACCAUACAUAAGCAAUUCGAAAUAAUUGUCAUGCUAUCUACCGGAGGGAUGCCCCCAAAAAACCCACACCCCAUUGAGUUUCUCCGUAAGCCCUGUAAGACAAACUUAUCCUGUCGAAAACCAGGAGGCCAAGGCGGUACUGGGCGCCACCAAUAAGGAUGAGCUCACUGAAGCACUUCUUCACCUUCUCACACGCAUUAAGAACCUAGGCCGGGAAGUAGAGAGUUACUCCAUGUGAUAGUCACUAGGCUGUGGCCAGCUCUACAACCAUCUCGCCGCCUGGAGUAUCAAAACUCGUUUCUUCAAACCUUUAAUUCGCAGCGGUCGUCUCCAUUCUUGGAGGAAUUGAAGGAUGAUAUCGUUAGUUACAAGGAUUGACGCAUGGCCGCAACUUCUGACAGUGACAAAGGUAGGAUUUCACGUGUGUUGGGGCCUCUUACAAAUUAUAAAGAAUCAAAAGUUCGAACUCACAAUACAUACAAAAAAUAGUAUAUAUAUAUAUAUAUCACAUAUGUCAAUAAUUAUAUUGCUUAUUGGUUGCAAUCAUAAUUGUCCUCGACAAAGGGAUAGACAAAUACAUUUUAAGCAAGAAAAAUUGUAAGAGAUAGAUAAAGAGUAGCGAUUUAGCAAAUAUCUUUAAAGCUUUUUCCCCCAUUAAACCCAAUAGAAAGAAAAAAUCAAAAUUUCACAAACUAAAAAAAACCUUAGGUCCCUUCAUGCAUUUAUAUCAUACAUGAAAAAAUGUUUUAUGUAAAAAUAUUGACUAAAUAUGAAAAAUGGUUUUUUCGAAAUAAUCGUUUUUUCAAGAUAAUUUUUGGCGGCUUUUAUUCCUUACACAUCAAAUAAGAAAUUUUGAUUUUAUGGGAUUUUAGUAUAAAGUAUAUAUUGACUUAAUGAACCAUCAUUUUUAGCCUACAUCGUAUUUUGCAUUAAAAUCGAUUUUUCAUAUUUUGAUUUGGUGGGAAUUUGAUUUUCUAGUAUUUUUAUUUGAAUCCAAAUAUAGAGUACUUCUUUAUUUACAUUGUAAACUUAAGUAAAUGGAGUAAUAUAAAAAUAAAUGAAAGUAAAAGGACAAAGACAUUUACUUAAAUGCUAAAAAUAAAAAUAAGGUAAUUCGUACACUUGGAGUGCACCAUCACCAACUGAGCAACGGGCAACUUUAAGCACCCUUAAUAAAUUCGCUACAACACAUGUGGGUACAUAUCAAAACAUAAAAUAUUUAAAAUAAUAUACAUAUAAAAAUACAUAAUAAUAUAUUACUUUUUAAAUAUAAAAAAAUUUGACUGGGGGCACGGGACCACACUGGUCCCAGUGUGGCUCCACCCUGACUUCUGACACCGCUCCAUGAUGACUUCUUCCUAAAGCCAAAAUAGGACAAGCGUCUUUUGUUUGGGCUCAUUUUGUUCUCAAGAGUGUGCCCAUCGCGUUAAAGAAGAGAUCCAUGGAAGGGCAGAUGAUAUUCUUGAGACUCUAAUAAAGUUAAUGGGCCAGGAUGUGAACUUGGGCCCGAAGACUGAGAUGGCGAGGGCAUGCGUUCUUUUAAUGUUUCAAGUUCACUUUGUUUUAGGCGAUAGGAAGGUGAGGAAUGCUACAAAGCUUAAACAAGCAGUGGAACUCAUGGUGUCGAUCAUCUUUAGGAAAUUAGCAGCCGAUGCAAGCGGAGAGAAAUUUUCGGAUGACGACUUUUUUAGACAAGACCCAAGACUAUAGCCCAAUUCGUGACCGUGAGAAACCCGCAGGAAUGGACAAUGAUACUAUUAGGAUUGUACAGAGCCUCGCGUUUUCCCUAAGAGGUGCGAGGUUUCUCAUUCACAUGUACCUAAAGGGGUCGUUUGGUAUGGCGGACUGUCAUGGACUGGACUAAAUCCUGAGACUGUCUUGGAUUAGCUUGGAUUGGCCUAAGCUGGAUUAAGUACUAGCCUGCGUUUGGUGAUGCGUCGGACUAAGAAGCUGGAUUGUAAAAAUAGUGAAAACCUAUGUUUGGUACUGUGUUGGACUAAAAAAAUUAUUUAAAUAUUUAAAAUUAAUUUGGGAUUUUGACCUAAAACUAAAUAAAUACUACAAAGAAACCAAUGAGAUAUGUAUAAUUUAUUAUAUAAAAAAAAUUUUAAAAUAUUUUUUAAUAACAAACUAUCUUUAUCUUUUAUCUUUUAUCUUUUUUCUAUUUUUUCUUUCUUUCUUCCUUUUCUCUCCUUCUCUUUUCUUCUUCCUUCCCAGCCCUGUUUCUUUUUUCUCUUUUCUUUCUCCCUCCCGAUCUCUCUCCAGUCCUCUCUCUUUUUUUCUCCAAUAUUGACACAACAUUGGUGUCCCUUUUUUUUUUUUUUUUAAUAUUCCCCUCCCAAACCUUUCUCUGCUUCCCUCUCAUUUUCUCUCUAUUCUUCCCCCUUCUUCCCCCCGCCCCCCCUUCCUUUUUUUGUUGUUGUUGUUACAGAGGGGGUAAACGCCCCAAAACAAAAACUAUUAAAUAUGACAAGGGGAGGUCUAGCAGGACCUUGAGCAUCAACAUCUAAAAUGGCUCUAAGGAAGGCAGGAGUUUCUUCAAAAACAUCGAGGCCAUGAUUAAACUUGUGAUUGGCAGCCAAGGUCUCUUGUUCCCUUUGAAGUCACAGAUCCUCAUCUUCUUCGAAGUCACAAAUCUCCAUUUGGUUUCACUGAGCCACGGUCAAUGGUUGGUAAUUUUUCGAAAGGUUCAAUUGGGUUGUGGUUCCACUGGGUUUGAUUUGAUGGUGGUUGAUUCAAGUGGUUGAGUUUGAAUUGGUGGUGGUUGGUUGGUGUGACUGGGUUUAUGGUGGUGAUAAUUCUAGUUGAAGAAGACGAAGAAAUUGAUUCUUGAAGCUUGGAUAUGGAUUUGGUCUUGCGAUUGGAUUAGUCGGACUUGCGCGUCAAAAUAGCACGCUCGCUAUUUUGCGAACUACAUUUCAGCCUCUCUGUAUAAGGAGAGCGAGUGAGGAGGUUUUUUAACUGUUGGACUCCACAAUCCCAUUUAACUUAGUCCCCCAUUUUACCAAACAUGGGUUUCAAGGUUUAUUUAGCAUAGUCCAGUCUAGUGAGGCAUACCAAACACACCCAAAGUUGAUUGGACAAGUCAAUUCUGAUGACGUAGACAUGCAGAGGCGGCCUUGGGCCAGGGCUACAGCCCGGGGCUCACAGCUGAAGGGGGCCCAAUAUUUUUUUUUUUAAAGCCUAUGUAUAUAUGUGUAUUAAAAAAAAUUAAUUAAACAGAAGAUAGUUGCUGCCUGUGCGUGUAUACCAAAAAGGAAGCCAAUCAAUCAGUCAUUAUAUUCUCAAUCUCAAGAAGAAACUUAAUGAGGAAGAAAAGUCUCUUAUUAAUUAUACAAUAUAAUAUAAAACAAAUAAACAAAAUAUGGGAAAAUCAAAACCAACUUUCUUAGCCACAAAAAGAAGAGGAAAAACAUUUUGACCUACUCUGCUUCUUAGAAGUUCAACGCAAGCAAUUUUUUUUUUUUUUUUUUUGUGAUUCUCGUCUUCUCCAACACACAUAGAGUUGGAUUCCACAAGCUAGACCAGUGCCUUUUUUGAAGGUAAUUUUUUUUUUUUAAUAGAUACAUAUAAAUUCUAGAUGUAUAAAUUUUGUAAAUUGUAAUACAUAUCUUUAUUAACUUUUUCAUCUUUAUUAUUUGAUUCAACAGAAAACUUGGUUGGGAUUCUUGUUCUUUAUAAUUGGAAGUUUCAAGUUGAAGAAAAUAUGCUCAAAAUCCAGGUGGAUAUGUUUCAUAAUGUAAUGAUUGCUUAUAGGGUAUUAUUGACUAUACCUGUGACUGUGGCAUUUGCUGAAAGAAGUUUUUCUAAAUUAAAAUUAUUGAAAUCUUAGUUGCGGACCAACAUGACUCAAGAUAGGCUAAAUGGAUUAGCAAUAUUAUGCAUUGAAAAUGAUAUGUUAGAAAACAUUAAAUAUGAUAGUAUAAUUGAUGAUUUUGUAUCUAAAAGUGCAACAAGAAGACAUUUUAAAUGAUGUUUUGUGUGGUUGAGAUUUCAUUGCUAUUUUUAUUUUGUAGGUACAUGUGAUGAUUGUUUGCUUCGAUUAAUUGUGGAGGAUGAAAAGAAAAUUGAUCAAAUCAAGAAAUGCUUACAGAGAUUGGGGAGGAAGUAUGUAGACUCAAAUAUGUAGUUUUUGUUUUUUAAUGCAAUAUUUACAAUGCACCCCUUUUUUUCCUUCGUUUGGGAUUUUGUCUCAUUGGAUUUUCCCCAAACAAAGUUUUAAUGAGGCCCCAAAGGGUUCUUCCUUAUCUUUUAUAAAUUUUUAUCAUUUUAAUUAAUUAGUUUUUUUUUUUUUUUGUUUAAUUUGUAUAAAGGGGCACACUUGAGAAAAUUUGCCCUGGGCCUUAGAAAACCCAGGCUCUGUAGACAUGCCUUCUAUAUUCUACUGGUAGCGUCAUAUUUUAGUCAUAUUUCAGUUUGUGUAGCAUGCAAGUAAAAGUUGUUUUGCAGGUAUGGACGAAUUUGCGCAUGCCUAAGGGAAAGCAGUUUCUCAUUCCUAUCUGCGGUUAUCCUAAGCCUAAUUAAAAAAGCCACAGAAAGUGUAGGAUUGAGGUUGAUGAAAAUCCAGGCUUAGUAUCAAAAACAGAUAAUGAGAAAAAGAAUAAGAAGAAGUCAUUGAAUAAGGUAUAUAUCCAUGUAGGCUCCUAGCUUGCACUGUGCUCCAAAGUCUUGUGGACAUAACCGGUAAAAGAGUUGUGGGGAGAAGAAAUCAAUGGGGGCUUGUACAUCACACUGUUAAUCUUUUUGCCGAAUGGGUGCUGAACCAGUUUAUUUUUUUCUUCUUCAAUUUUCUUUUUUGUUGCGUAGAUGAGAUGGUUGAAAAGUCUAACAACAGCUGAUAUUGUGAAUUUUAGACAACCUACAAAAUGGUAAUUAUAAAGAUUAGUCUAAACACAAAUUAUACUCGUAAGUGCACAAGGUCAAUCGUAAUUUAGUAUGGUAAAUACGAGGUCAUUCUCACGAGGAUUGAGUUCAACUUCCAAUUAGUCUAACCUAAUUUACUUCACAAAAUACUUUAACUAUUCUAAUUAUAUAAACAAGAAAUUAAACACGUAAACACAAAAGGGUUUUUUGAAUGAGUGAUUUAAUUAACAACGAAAUCAAAAGAAAAAACAAGUAGAAAGCCAUGAAACACAAAGAUGAGAAAUUCAAAUUGAUAAAAGCACUAGGACAUUGAAUUCACCACUAGUAAUCCGAUCUAGCCUCUUAUUCACCUACCUGUUAACUAACCAUUUGAUGUCGCCGCUUAGUUUUCCUUUUUCAUGAAUUACCUAUGGUAUUUAGGCUAACUCGUAUAUUCUUAAAUGCAAUUCGCCUAUGGUAUUUAGGUCAAAUAUCAACACGUAGAAACUCAUUAAGAUCAGUGAAAACCUCCAACAAGCAUGUAAAAAUCCUAGAAUUAUGAUAUUUACCCUAGACGAAUUAUAGAUCUUAAUCACAAGAAGCAAGCCUCAAAUUAAGUAUGGUAUUUACUCUAAUUUGCAUCCAAUUAACUCAAUUAAAAGUCUAGAUGGUGAUCAAGCAUCAAGAUAAUCAACCAAGUUAUUAAGCACAGUGAUUAAGAAUCCAACAUCAAACGGCAAUCAAUAGAUAGGUAAAAUAAGAAAACUAGAUUAUCAUACUAGGGCUACAUCAUGCCCUAUCAAAAGAAAAUUAGUUACACAUAAUCAUAGAAUUCGGCAUAAGCAAAAACAUAAUAAAAUAAUAAUAAAAACUUAGCCAAUUGCGGUACUCUCCCGGCGUCUCCAAUUUCUCCAAGUCUUUACGUAACCCAAAGGAGUUGUUUCUCAUGCUUAAACAAAACACCACACGUCUAUUCCUAACCUAGCUGGGCUUUUACAGCAGCCCCAAAAAUAAAGAAAAACCUAAUUAAAACAUAAAUCCAAAAAGGGUAAGUAAUUGACUCCUCUACCUACUUUGACUGGGAUAACACAUCAGUUUCUUUGCAAGCACGUUUGAAGUCAUUUCUCCUCCAAGAAAAUUUCGGAAAAAAUAUUUAAAUUGUAGAUCUUUGUCUUAUCUUUCCAACCAUAUAUCGCACGCUGUGAGAAAAAAAACACGAAGACCUUCAAAUUUCCUUUUUCACACAGUAACUCAAAUCUAACGGAAUUGCACUUAUGCUGACUUGAGCUCAAAGAGCACUCUCAUUGGUUGCUCCAAAAAUUCUAGAAACAUUCCAAAAUUAUCUUCAGGGUCUUACCUUCAAUAUCCAACUGGCCUUACACAAAAACUCUACCAAAAGUCAUAUUUUGUUGGUAAUCAAUUAGCUGCUCAGUUAAGCUGAAAAUGAAGAAAAUAAAGAAAAUAAAGAAAAUAAAGAAAAUAAAGAAAAUAAAGUAAUAAGUCCUUUUUAAAUCUAAUUCUCCUACAAAAACUAAGUAUAAAUAGUACAUAAUGUGUAAAUUUAUGGGCUUAUCAGCUGACACCAAGGAACGAGUUCUAGUGCUUUGGAUGCUAUCAAAGUGAAGCUUUCUCUUAGGGCAUUAAGGUGUGCAGAAUUUUGGAAAGAGCAACCGAAGUUGGGAUAAGAGCACAAACACAAUCUACUGUCUUCAGUCAAGGUUUAAGAAUUGAAAUUGGAACCUUUGAUUCAAUCAAAAGGGGACUUACAAUUCAUUUGAAGUGUACGAUGUACUUAUAAAAUUGUUACAAUUUAUUUUUCAUCGAGGUCAUGUUGUCUAUUCUUAGAAUUUAAUUUCGAACCUCUGGUUCAAUCAAAAGGGAUUUACAAUUCAUUUGAAGUAUACCAUGUAAUGCUUAGAAAAAUGUUGUUCAUGUCCAAACCAGGAAUCAACUUAGAAUGAUGAAGUAUGAAAUCUUCAGCAAGGAUUGAAUGGUGAGGACCUUUGGUAAGGAUGCCUUCAGCAGCUAGAUCAACUUGUAGAGGGAAACGAGACAAGCAUUUAUCAAGCUUCAGGCACCGGUGUUGUAAGGGUAAGGGUCCAAAGUCAGCAAGUAUGAGGUAAGUGGUAAUUUUGGCACAGAAAGGGUCAAAAGUAGUUACCUUUUUACCUUAGCACUAUUCCCCUUUCAUAGAAAAAGGGAAGUGGAUGUUUGCCCAAUUAAGAUGUGGGACUUUGGGCAAAUCAUUGUGGUAGUGAUACGUGUCCCAAGGUCUAGGUUCUGUAGGCUUGCCUUUCAAUAGUAUGUUGCCCUAUUAGAGAAAGAUGUAUCUUCAGUACCUUCAGUUGUGAUGACAUCAUCAAUACUCUAAGUUAGAGCAUUUCUUGGGUUGUCUCCUUUUGGUAGUUUGUGGGUCUGUCUCUGUACCAGUCCCCCAAUACCGAAUGUGCUUGGUUGAUUAUGGUACAAAUAGUAGUCCCUUAAGUUGCAGAUUGAGAAGUGGCUUUUGGGUUGGAAACUUGUAAAAUGUCAUAUAAUCUUACCGAGUGGUUCGGCAUGCCAGAGGUAGUCCUAAGUCCCCCAAGUUUGCAAUCUAGAAGUUACUUUGGCAUGGAGGUAACUGGAGGUGAAUUAAGACAUAGAGUGCUAGUCGCGCAAUAGAGUCUUCUACAAGAUUAGCAUGCGUCUUCCCGAUCACACGUCUUGUAAAUCAGUUAGGAGACUACGCGCAUCUCGCACAAGAGUGUCCUACACGAUCGACAUGCAUCGUGCCGAGAGUGUCUCCUACACAAUCAACAUACAUCUUGCCAAUACGUAGGGAGACUAAGCGCAAGUCGUGCUAAUGUUGAAAAAGUUCAAAGGUUGGUAAUCAAAUGCAUGCCACGUGGCGGAAAUAGUUUGAAUAAUCAGAUCGUAAUGAAGGUCAUUAGUGCUGGAAACGAAGCAUCAUUACAAGUAGUUGAGUUGCAAUGAUGUGCAUUGGCUCAAGAAUUGAGAUGUCGGUAUAUAUGCCACAAGGGUAUAAAGUCCUUGCCUAGGGUAGAGAUAGAACAUUUAGCAUUGGAGAGAAAUUUGAGAGGGUUGGUGUACCAAAUUUAAGGGUGACAAAGAUGAGGGUACCGAUUUUGAGUUCCUUAUAGAAGAUCCUAUAGAAGACAAUAGGAUAAUAGUCUAUGAUGGAGGAAUAAGUCAACAAUCGGUAAACUCGGGUGAAGCCAGGCAUGAAGCAAUGCAAGUUGAGUUUGCCAAUGAUAUGUUCAUAAUUUCACAUGAUUUUAUAUCCUAUUUACUUAGUUUUGUGAAUUAAUUUGGAUUAAAGAUGCUGAUUUUAGUUAUUUUCUGGUUUUUCAGUUUAUAAGUCGUGAAAUGUAUAAAUUCGUCAAAUAUUCCUCAUAAUAUAGUUUGACAUGAUUCCAAUUAGAAAUGGAAGAUAGCAUCUUGAAGUUUGUCCAUGAAUAUUUCAUAAUUUUUUAAGACUGCUAAGGUGCCCAUUUUUAAUUAGACAACUCAGCCUAAACCAAUUCCCGGAGAAUACUAAAUCAGCAGGGGUAAUUUGGCCAUAACUCACUCAUACGACAUUGGAUUGAGGCACACGACAUAUGGCUGAAAAGAAAACAUCCGAAGAUUUCCAAAGAGUGGUCAUACGUAAUUUUCGGAGGUCAUGAAGGUAUUCAAAUCGCAUUCGCUAAGAGGAUCACGUGCAGUUUCCUGGAAGUUUUAGAAAAUUUAGUUUUGAUUACCUUUUCUAGUUAGAAAUAGACUUGGAAAUCAAGUCUUCGUGUAAGGCCACUUGUUUAGGCCCAUUCUAACUAGGUUUUAGGUUCUUUUUAGAGGGGAGGUUGGGGGGGGGGCUCAAAGAGGAUAUAUCAGAAAUUUCAGAAUUCAACCGUGGAGCAAGGAAGAGCGACCUUGCCUCUAUACUCUAAGGGUUUUUCUUAUCUCUUUCUCCAUGUUUUAUUUUUGCUUUGUUACCAUGAUUAUGAGUAACUAAUUUUCUUUUACUAAGACACAAUGUAACCCUUUUCUAAUUAUUCAAAGCUUAGUUAUGUCAUGCUAUUAGACUUUCCAUGUUGUUGAAAUUUAAUCACUGUACUUAUUUUCUUAACUAAUGAUCUUGACGCUUAGCUACCAUCUAGAUUUUUGGUUAAGUAAUUUAAUGCAUGUUAGGGUAUACGCCAUGCCUAAUAUGAGUUUUGCUUCUUGUGAUUAAAUUCAUAAAUGCGCCUAAGGUAAAUACCAUACUCUUAGGGGUUUGGGUGAUUGUGUGAAGUUCUCAUUGAACCUAAGGUCUUUUUAUAUGUUUAUAUUUAUGCCUCACGCCAAGGAUAAAUUGUGUGUAAGAAGAAGUGGUUAAUUGCUGUGAAAAGAGUUAAUCAUAAUUUUGGAUAACUAAUCAUCAACAUAACUUGGAAAUUUUGAUAGCAUGCAUGCUACGGUUUGAAAUUGGUACACAGGUGACGAGGGGUGAAUUUAAAUGCUAUUCAAGUAGUCAUAGUGAUCUUCACACACUUUAAUCAUUGACCAAAUAUACUUAUAACUAGUCAACUGCUAGUCAUGAGAAACCAUAACGAAGAACACACACACAGAGCAUAACAAUCUAUACCUGCAAGCCUAGAAGAUUAUUAGUAACAACCUAGACACUCAGAAGGACCCGUCAAUCUAGACAUCCCUUGUGCUAGCAACAACUAUGGUGAAAGUGCGUGAAAAUAUCAUACAACAGAUAGUGAUGACUAGUCAACUGCAAGAACACAAACCCAGAAAUGCAUGAUCAUCAUGCGAUGACCAGUCAACUAUCAAGAACAUAAACCCAUAAAAUAACAAAGCUGCAAACCAGAAAUUGUUCACCCAGAAACCCACCAUUGGGCAAAACUGGGGGUCAUCAACCGACCAAACAAUUCACUAAGUAAAGAAGAUUCUUACCAAGGAAAACAAGUAAACUCAAGAAAUCCUAGAUCUAUUUAGGAAGAUAAGCUAUACCUCCUUUGUGCAAUCUUCUUCUCCAACUUAGCAAAACCAGCAGCUUAGUCCUUCAUGGCAAUGACAGCUCCUUCUUCAACUCUUUCAUCCCAUGGCACCAACUAGCCAGCUUAAACUCAUACAGAAACCAAAAAUUUGGAUUCAAAGGAAAAUGAUCAAUUUCUUCAAGAAACCAUACUCUUGACUUGAAUCUGACCUAGAUAUAUAUGAGAGAGUGUUUGAUAUAGCAAGAUGAGGUUUUCAUAUUUCAGAUGCAGUUUUCAAAAAAUCAAUUUGGAAAACUCAAAGAUGAAAAAUAUGAAGGUUCACUCUUGAGGAAGAAGAAGAGAAAGUUUUCUAAGAAGCUUUCCAAAACUCACCCACAAAAUAGACGGCUGCCAAAUGAGAAAUUCUUUGACUUUUACCCAAAAAUUCCUAGGUCAGAAUAGUACACAUGACAGUUGAGAAUUUCGCAGAAAAUGACGAAAAGAUGAUUAGGACCCAGCUGGAAACGGUGAGAUGGAAAUCCUAAUUGAAACAAAGGUUGACUAGUCAUACAAAGAAAAGAUGACUAGUCACAAUCUUCAUAAAUUUAGUGAAUGCAAUGUAGUGCAAUGCAAAGUUUACCUUUGUCAAAACACAUUGUUGUCCAUCAGAAUGUAGCUAGAUAAGAACACCUAGAGAAGUAAUUCUUAAUCUAAACUUAGAGCAAUGAUUGUCCUUUUACAAAAUUGUCAAGGGAAGCCAAAAGAAAAUUACAAAAUGCAUACACUUACAAGGUUUGUAUAAGAGGAAUUGUGGUGAAAUUGUUGUCUUGGCAAACUUCUUUAAAGUCUUUCACAAACUUAUUUAGUUCACGUUUUUCUUCGUUAUCUUGUCUUUUAACUUUCUUGUUUUCAACGUUCUUUUAAAUAAAAUCUUUCAAAACUCCUUUAUUAAGUUUUAGUUGAGUAGUUUUUAAUAUAACCGUCUUACGCCUUUAAAUUAUAUAAAUAAGUUCUUUGUAAGGGGUUUAUAGCUCAAAUGAUUAAAAAUAGUUAUCCCUACAUCCGAGAUCAUGUGUUCGAAUUCCCCUCCUUCAAUAUCACUUACCAAAUGUAUUCCCUUUCUGACUCUUGUUCUUUGUGUUCGCCGAGUUGGCCUUUUUUGUGACAUCUAAUCAUUCUUCGCGUAGGGCAUGUGGGGCUUAUUGCAGAGUUGGUUGAACUUGAGACUUGAGAGUGCCUUUUGGUUUUGGUUUUGGUUCUCAUUCAUCUGUUAGACGUUUUGAAGAGCACGCAAAUUAGCUCUGGCUCUGGGGCUUUCUGCUACAAGUAUUAUUGGGUCGAUUUCUGUGACAAAAAUAAGUGGACUAAAACUAAUAAUAAGGCUUAAUUAGAAGAGUUAUUUUCACAAAAGAGGAGAUAGCUUAAUUAGAAGAGUUAAAACUAUGCCAUAAUCCUUUAUAUCAUGCCACCAUAUCACGCAGUUGACAAAGAGUUAUACAUGGAUAUUGGGUGAUAGAGUUAUAGCUUAUGGUGAUUUGAAAGCUUGUUUUUUUGUUCAUUUGUAAAAAAAUAUUUGGGGGGGGGGGGGGGGGGGGGGUUGGGGUUUUGUUGGUGUUGGGGUUUGGGGGUUGGUGUUCUCUAAAAGGGAAUUGCAAAGCCAAAGAAAUUAAAACAAAUAAAAAAACAAAUCUCUAGAACUGUGGGAAUUGAAAAGCAAAGAAAAACCAAAUCAUGAAGUCCAUUUUUUUCUAUUACAAAGUUUGGGGAGGAUUCGAGAACUUGGUUGGUAGAGCUUUGAAAAUCCCCUUUUUGUCAACAAUUGUUGUGCAUUCGAAGAUUGUCUUGUUGGAAAAUGGUUGUUGGGUCUUGAGUUGUCUUUUUUCUUAACCUUGGCUCUUUCAUUAUGUUCAUUCUUUUUCUUAAUGAAAAAUUUUAUACCCAGAUUGAACUCUUUUAUUUUCUUAUUAGCUUUCUCUGCACUUUGUUGGAAAAAAUCCCCAGUUCCAAACUUCUGUUGGAAAAAAUCCAAAGUUCUACAACAAUUGAAUUUGAUUCUUUGAGCAACCGAUAUGUCUUUUGGUUGAGAAGGGAAAAAAUCAACCAAAAUGUCUCAGUUGAAAAGAUACAAACCAACCAAUACGUCGUCUUUCGGUUGAAAUGGUACAUACCAACUGAUAUGUCUUUAAUUGGUACAUUAUUCUGACUUAAUUAAAUGUAUUAUUCUUUCAACAUACUUGAUUAGUUGCACACUUUCAGAUAAAUUGAAUGGAUGUCUUUUGCUCUAUAUUUAUUUACUGUUGUUAACAGAACAAUAUGUCAAAAACUAAUUCAAAAACAGUUUACUACUCUCUUCUUCCCUACAACCAUACAAUUUUCUUAUAGUAAUUUCUAAGGGAAUUCUUCGAAUUUUUGCUAUUCGUUGAUUUCAGACUUUGUUGUAUUCUGAAAAAUGAUUUGCCAAGAAUCCAUUAGCUUACUCAGACUUUGUUGUAUUCUGAAAAAUGAUUUGCUAAGAAUCCAUUAGCAAACUCAGUUAAGUGGGGCAAAUAAAACUUUAAUUAAGGAGACUCUUCAAAUUGAGUCCUUCUACAUAUUUUUUUUUUUUUGGUUACAACCUUCUACAUAUUUAAUUUCUUACUCAACAACUUCCCUACUUUAUUUAAAGAACUUGGAGAAGGAAAAAAAAAAGGGCAGUCCAAACAGUUGAGAGGAUAGGUUCUUUUUCUCAUUAAAACUGCUAGAAGUACAAUUACAACCAAAAUUAUAUUAUAUAUUAUGUAUUGGGUGAGUAGCCUCUUGCCAGCAGAAAAAAAGUAGAUAUGGUACUUAUGAAUCCUUCUCAACAAAUAGGCUAAGCUACAAGCCUAAAUUUUCCCAUUUAAGGUCAAACAAUCCUUAACCCAAUAAAUGGGCUCUACUAUUUGGACCUGGUCAUUCUUAGCUCCAUUGUUGUCUCUAACCGAAUAAAGUAAGUUUUAGUAUUAUUAUUAUUAUUAUUUUAAAUUUUAUUCUUUAAAUUUUACGGGUCUAUCUCAGUGAAAAAUGGCUUUAAUUUGCAUAUCAGUGAUCUCCACGUGCUUUUAUUUGGCAUUGCGACUACUCUGUACUUUUUUAUGUGUUAUCAAUAAAAUUACUAUCGCUUUUUAUCAAAAAAAAAAAAAAAAACUCCUCUUAACCACUUGAGCUACAAGUGCAAUGCAGUUUAAAAUAUCAACACAAAAUUUAGGAGAACGGGAAGUGGAAGGUGAAUGGGAAGAAGAAAUGAAGGGAUAUAUUUUGGGAAUAAUGGGGAUGAGAUGAGUAGAUUUUUAUUUUAUUUUAUUUUUUAACAAAUGUAUGAGAGUUUACCCCUGCACCUCAGUUCAAUUUUCCCUUCCCUAAUAUCUCAGUAUUUGAGUCUUUAAACUUUCAAAUAAAUCAAUGUGGUUCUUAAUCUUUUGAUCCACACACAAAUAUUUGGUCCUUCUCAUCACAUUUGUCAAAAUCUUUGUUAAAUUUAUUCACUUAACCAACUUUGAAGGGGUAUUUUCAUUCAAAUACAACUUAUCCACCAACAACUCAAAGUAAUUCUCACAUAUUUUACUCAAUAAGGCUAUAUGUUCUCCUUGAUGGACUCUAGUGUAAAAUCUUAAUUGGUAAGAUAUAGCCUAUUGAUCAAAAAUGUGAGUAUUAGGACUGAAAUGAACUACAAUUAGAUGACAAUAUCCCUUUAAAGUGGCUCAUGCGAUGACACACAAUUAGUUUUUAUUGAAAAUUUUGUCGGAAUGCAAUAACAAAAAUUAAAUUGAUGUGUUGACCCAAAGAUGAAGCACCAUAUUGAUUGAUUUGAGAGUUUGAAGACUAAAAUGAAGAUUUUAAAAAAGUUUAGAGACUAGUUGUGAUCAAAACCAAAAGAAAUGUGGGAGUGUACAGAUAAGGGGGGGUGGGUAAAAAGAAAAAGGGUGUUUAAAUUAUUUUCUAAAAUUGAUCAAAAUGUCAUUGAGAUGAUGAUUGAUUGGUUGUGUACUCUUAUAAAUAAAAGAUUAUAACCAAACUCAAACGUAAGAAUUCAUAAACCACUCGUUUAAAACCCCACCAAUAACACCAAUUAAAAUAUCAUUAUUCUACAACGAAAAGAAAAAACUAGAAAGUCAUGUGACAUUUUCUCUUCCACUUGUUAGACAAAGCAAUUGUUAAAGCUCAGACCAAAACACAAAAAAAAAAAAAAAAAAGCAAUUGUUAAAGCCUUACAUAUCUUUAUCUUUUUACUCAACUAUUUUAUUUUACCGGCGGUAGGUGAGUCUGGUAGGCUCUUCUCCUCCUUAUAAAGCCGCACUAGCAGCUAUUCCAUCACAAAACACAAACUUCAAACUUUCUCUCUUUGUCUCUAUUUGAUCUCUUCCAAUCCCACCAACCAAAAGAGCAAAACAAAAAAUCAUUCCCAAAAACCAAGCUAAGUAUUAAGAUGCCUGCCGAUAGUUCUUCAGUUUCAGGCCAUGGCCAAACUGUUUGUGUAACCGGAGCUGGAGGCUUCAUUGCUUCCUGGAUUGUCAAACUAUUGCUAGAAAGAGGCUACACUGUUAGGGGAACCUUGAGAAACCCAGGUCAGUCCAAAUCAUUAUCUUCUUGGCCUAUGAGUUGUUUGUUUUGUCCUACAUUCGGGUAUCGACAUGUUAUGCAGUGAGACUGUGAAUUAGAACAAUUCAUUUAAAUUAUAUCUGAAUUUGCGGUUCUUAUUCACAGUUUAACAAGGUAACACGUAACAUAUAUGGGGAUACAUAAUUCUUCCCUGUAUAGAUAUGUUUUUUUCCAUUUUGGUGCUUUUCUUAUUUUGGGUUGAUCACAGAUGACCCAAAGAAUGCUCAUUUGAGGGAGCUUGAGGGAGCUCAAGAGAGGUUAAGUUUGCGUAAAGCUGAUCUUCUUGACUAUGAGAGCCUCAAAGAAGCCAUCAACGGCUGUGAUGGCGUUUUUCACACAGCAUCACCUGUUACGGAUGACCCAGUGAGUUUUUUUUUGUCUCUGUUUCCUUACUUUGUUUCUUCCUUUUCCUGUUUGGUUGCCCAGAAAAUGCCGGAAAAUAUGCACACUUUUUCUCUUUAGUCUUUACCAACCCACUAUAACAAACCAUGGGUUCCUAAGAUUCCAAAUCGAUCUGUUUGUCAAUUGUGAUGUUUGUGGACCUCCAAAAAUUGUUCUCUGAGUCCCAUAAUACCCAAUAAAUAUUAUUACUAUUUAAAUGGGAAAAAAACAAAAGAUAAGAAGGAAUACUUUGGUAACGGAUAAUGAUUUUGGUGCCAGACGAUACUUUGGUGAAGAAUAUUUUUCCUUUUCAUAUUUUCCAAAGCAACUUUUAAAUUCAUGUCUCACUUUAUAACGCUUAUAAGAAAGUUAUAGUGACUUAUUUUUUCAUACUAUACAAUAAUUUCUUUAAAUAUAACUCGUACCAAAAUUCCUGAAAGAAAAAUUCAAUUGUAAUUUAACUCAAAAUAAAAUUCGCUCAUGAUUUUCUACUAUAACAUCUCAUCUCUAUGCUAUUAAAAUAUUUUGAAGGGAUUGUUUUGUUUUUUUUUUAAUUGACAUUUCUUUAAUAAGGCAAUGAAUGAUGUGUGUAUAGGAACAAAUGGUGGAGCCCGCGGUGAAUGGAACAAAGAAUGUGAUUGUUGCGGCAGCAGAAGCUAAGGUUAAACGGGUGGUGUUCACGUCGUCAAUCGGUGCGGUGUACAUGGACCCCACCAGGGGCCCUGAUGUGGUGGUCGAUGAAUCUUGUUGGAGUGAUCUUGAAUUCUGCAAGAACACCAAGGUUAGGACAUAAUAUUAUUUAUUUUAUUAUUUUAUUAUUUUAUCUCUCCAAUUUAUAUAGUAUGAUGACUCAUGAUGCACACAAAAUUACAUCAAUUGUUUGAUAUGUUUAUCACUCAGUGUCUCAUAAUUAAAUAGAAUUGUUAUUUUAUGCAAGAUUUAGUGUAAACUAUUUUAAAUUAAUUUAAUAUUAUAAAGAGGGGACUUGAAUUUAGGUGAAAGGAGACAAGCUCAAUGCUCUCACCAACUCGCCUAAUUCAUGUCCGCCAUAAUUAAUAACAAUUGUUUUGUCUAGUAAUUAAUUAGAGAAUGAAUCGAUGGAUGUUAUCUCCAAUCAUGGUCUAUUUUUUUAAGUUAAAUUUCAAUUGGAAUAACUAUAAAGUUAUUUUAGGAGCUCUAUAUAAAAUUUAUAUUCUAAUUAUUAUUGAAAAUAAUUUUAAAAAAAUUAUAGAAUAUGUAGUACAAGUUAAAAGAGGGAUUUACUAUUAUGCCCAAUAUAAGGGCUCAAAAUAUAAAAAAUAAAAACCUAUAUUAAAUGAAUUUUAGAAAUACAACCAAAGCCCAUUUUCAAUAUAACAAAAAUGCUUCGAACUUCCUAUAAAUUACAAAACUGCUAUAAAUUUCUUAAAACAAGCUCAACCCCAAAACCUCAUUAAAAAAAACCCAAAACAUAUGGCAUCAAAGUAAUUUAAUAAUCAAAAUUAAAGUCAACAGGGCAGUUGUCGUUUUUUGAUUUUUUUUUUUUUUUUUGGUUUGUUUGCGGAAAUUAAAUGGUGUAUGGUUUAUUUAUAUCACUAUUUCUAAGAAUGAGUAUGUAACUAAAUAUUUAAAGUUAAAAACACUUUAAAUGAGAUGAUAACAUUUUAAAUCAAUACAACACCAUAUAGGUAAUAGGUGUGAUCCAAUAUAUAUAUGAUUGGAAAGAGAAAAUUGUUUGUUAAAACUUAAACAUAUAUAAAGAGUUGUUAAAGGUGAUCCACAAAAGUAAAUGAAGGAAAUUUGCACAUACAUUGUGAUGAAAAGUUGAAAACGACCAAUUAAAACUUGGUUGUUAACAUGUAAUGACUAAUGACAAGCCCUACCUAGCUAACAUCCCAGAGUAACCUAUUCAGUUGACCUUUAGUUCAAUUUAUCAAUCAAAGAUGAAAUCACCGAAAACAAUUAGAACCUAUUUCACAGAAGAUCAAAUAGUCUUUGAAAUCCAAAUAAAAAUGAUCAAAAUCUAGUUUGUGUUUUGCAAAUUAUAAUUAACAAUGAAUCUGACAAAUAUAAAAUCAUAUAUAUUCAGAACUGGUACUGCUAUGGGAAAGCAGUGGCAGAGCAGGCAGCAUGGGAAGAGGCCAAGGCGAAAGGGGUGGAUUUGGUGGUGGUGAACCCAGUUUUGGUGCUUGGACCACUUCUGCAACCAACCAUCAACGCCAGCAUCAUCCACGUCCUCAAGUACCUCACAGGCUCAGCCAAGACUUAUGCCAAUUCUGUGCAGGCCUAUGUGCAUGUUAGGGACGUGGCUCUGGCCCACAUUCUGGUGUAUGAAAUUCCAUCUGCCUCUGGAAGGUACCUUUGUGCUGAGAGUGUGCUUCAUCGUGGAGAUGU
rnacentral:lncRNA from 1 species